ensembl:lncRNA
GCUUAUAUAGCAGAUCAGUAGCUUUUCAAGCAAACUUAAGCUUUUUCAUGCCAACUUAAUUAUUAACUUGCCAUUACACAAACUUAAACAGGUCAUUUGCACUAGCUAGAACAGUUCCUUCGAAAUACUUGAUGUUUUCUUAGGACAACAAACUGCAAUCUUGGUAAUACUUAAGCAUUUAAAAAGGAGAACAGAAUUAUACACUCAGAAACAGACAGUGGUAAUGCUGAGGUCUUUGUGAAAGUGAUUGCACCUGUUUUCAUUACUACUGUGAUGUCUGAAGAAGAACAGCCAACCAUGGCUGUCAUUCUGCCUUUCCAAGAUAAACUACUGAAACAUCUUGAGUCUUGUGAGGAUGAUGCAGAUAUGACAUGAGAAAUUAAAUCUGUGUUGACAACAAAAUUUUCAUUUCAUUUGAAAGCGGCCGAUAAACAUGAGCAGCCAUCUUGGUGUUUUGCUUGAAUUGAUUAUAUGAUUGGGUUACAUGACUAAACAUACAUCAUCGUUUUUGAAUACUUUUUUUUUCACUUCUUUCACAGUCCACAAUACAAAAAUUAACAUGAUAAUAUAGGCCUGCGUGUCAUUUCUGAGAAAGUGGGAGAACUUUUGGAAAGUGACAUAGUAAUUGUUGCAGCAUCCUAGUCUUUCAUAGAGCUGAAGGGUGGAAACAUUUGGUAUUUUGGUUGCCCCAGCAGCAUCAAUGGAGACAGCUAUACCUCUGCCACCAUGGUGGUCUCCAGCUCCAGCUGUGCUGCCUGGGUUGUCUUCUGUUCUACCUACUCUGCCGUGGCUGCCUGAUCUGCCAGCUCCUCCCUGGUCUUUAGCUCCACCCAGGCCACCUAAUCUACUGUUUCCACCCUGGUCUUCAGUUCCACCUAGCCCACCUGAUCUGCCGGCUCCUCCCUGGUCAUCAAAUCUUCCAUCUCCUUAAUGGUCUCCAACUCUGCCCUGGCCACAGUCUGCCUGCUCCACCCUAUGCAAUUACUUUUUUGCCAAUAAAAAUGAAUGUAAUUUUUCA